UACGAGGGGGGGCGAGCGUUGUUCGGAAUUAUUGGGCGUAAAGGGUGCGUAGGCGGUUUGGUAAGUCUGAUGUGAAAUCUAUGGGCUCAACUCAUAGUCUGCAUCGGAAACUGCCAGGCUUGAGGCAGGGAGAGGGAUGUGGAAUUCCCGGUGUAGUGGUGAAAUGCGUAGAGAUGUGGAGGAACACCGAUGGCGAAGGCAGCCCCCUGGGCCAACACUGACGCUCAGGCACGAAAGCGUGGGGAGCAAACGGG
rnacentral:rRNA from 1 species